UACGAAGGGGGCUAGCGUUGUUCGGAUUUACUGGGCAUAAAGCGUGCGCAGGCGGCUAUGCAAGACAGAUGUGAAAUCCCCGGGCUCAACCUGGGAACUGCAUUUGUGACUGCAUGGCUAGAGUACGGUAGAGGGGGAUGGAAUUCCGCGUGUAGCAGUGAAAUGCGUAGAUAUGCGGAGGAACACCGAUGGCGAAGGCAAUCCCCUGGACCUGUACUGACGCUCAUGCACGAAAGCGUGGGGAGCAAACAGG
rnacentral:rRNA from 1 species